GAACCAGCGGAGGGAUCAUUACUGAGUUACCGCUCUACAACCCUUUGUGAACAUACCUAACCGUUGCUUCGGCGGGCAGGGGAAGCCUCUCGCGGGCCUCCCCUCCCGGCGCCGGCCCCACCACGGGGACGGGGCGCCCGCCGGAGGAAACCAAACUCUAUUUACACGACGUCUCUUCUGAGUGGCACAAGCAAAUAAUUAAAACUUUUAACAACGGAUCUCUUGGUUCUGGCAUCGAUGAAGAACGCAGCGAAAUGCGAUAAGUAAUGUGAAUUGCAGAAUUCAGUGAAUCAUCGAAUCUUUGAACGCACAUUGCGCUCGCCAGCAUUCUGGCGAGCAUGCCUGUUCGAGCGUCAUUUCAACCCUCAAGCACCGCUUGGUUUUGGGGCCCCACGGCAGACGUGGGCCCUUAAAGGUAGUGGCGGACCCUCCCGGAGCCUCCUUUGCGUAGUAACUAACGUCUCGCACUGGGAUCCGGAGGGACUCUUGCCGUAAAACCCCCAAAUUCUUUACAGGUUGACCUCGGAUCAGGUAGGAAUACCCGCUGAACUUAAGCAUAUCAAUAAGCGGAG
rnacentral:rRNA from 1 species